rnacentral:rRNA from 1 species
ACCGGCGGCCCGAGUGGUGAGUCGUGAUUAUUGGGUCGUAAAGGGUCCGUAGCCGGUUUGGUCAGUCCUCCGGGAAAUCUGAUAGCUCAACUAUCAGGCUUCGGGGGAUACUGCCAGACUGGAACCGGGAGAGGUAAGAGGUACUACAGGGGUAGGAGUGAAAUCUUGUAAUCCCUGUGGGACCACCUGUGGCGAAGGCGUCUUACCAGGACGGGUUCGACGGUGAGGGACGAAAGCUGGGGGCACGAACCGGAUUAGAUACCCGGGUAGUCCCAGCCGUAAACGAUGCUCGCUAGGUGUCAGGCAUGGCGCGACCGUGUCUGGUGCCGCAGGGAAGCCGUGAAGCGAGCCACCUGGGAAGUACGGCCGCAAGGCUGAAACUUAAAGGAAUUGGCGGGGGAGCACAACAACGGGUGGAGCCUGCGGUUUAAUUGGACUCAACGCCGGACAACUCACCGGGGGCGACAGCAAUAUGUAGGCCAAGCUGAAGACUUUGCCUGAAUCGCUGAGGGGAGGUGCAUGG